AACGCCAACAAAAAGUGCAGUCAUCUGUGAAGAAACGGGUCUGGAGGAAAAACACCUUGGACUAGCAUCGAGAGGCGUGUUUUGUAAGCACAACAGAAAUGAAACCAGAUCGAGCCCAAGUAGAAGAAACAUCCCAAGCAAAGCAUCACCUCCCUGCUGAAAUGGCAACUCUUUUCUCACUUCCUCAGUAGCCACCGGGUGUUGCUGACAAACUCACGGAGAAGCCAGCUAAACUAGAUGGUGCCUCUGGAGCACAGAGCAGAAAAAAGCAUCCACAAGUCUGGCACCGUUCUUUGACGCCAAGUCCCCUGAAAACCAUCAUGGUUUUGCUGAGGAAUACUCCCUCAGGAAAUCACCUGACCUGAAGCUUGGCUUCUGGAGGGCCGUGUCACCUCUCAGGCAAAGGGGAUUGGGUAUGUGGACCAUAUUUCUACCACACCUAGCAAUUUCUAAUCUUCACACAUGAACCUGGCAAUAACUCU